GACGAACGCUGGCGGCGUGCUUAACACAUGCAAGUCGAACGGAAGGGCCCUGCUUUUGUGGGGUGCUCGAGUGGCGAAUGGGUGAGUAACACGUGAGUAACCUGCCCUUGACUUUGGGAUAACUUCAGGAAACUGGGGCUAAUACCGGAUAGGAGCUCCUGCUGCAUGGUGGGGGUUGGAAAGUUUCGGCGGUUGGGGAUGGACUCGCGGCUUAUCAGCUUGUUGGUGGGGUAGUGGCUUACCAAGGCUUCGACGGGUAGCCGGCCUGAGAGGGUGACCGGCCACAUUGGGACUGAGAUACGGCCCAGACUCCUACGGGAGGCAGCAGUGGGGAAUAUUGCACAAUGGGCGGAAGCCUGAUGCAGCAACGCCGCGUGCGGGAUGACGGCCUUCGGGUUGUAAACCGCUUUCGCCUGUGACGAAGCGUGAGUGACGGUAAUGGGUAAAGAAGCACCAGCUAACUACGUG
rnacentral:rRNA from 1 species